CCCUUAGAUGUUCUGGGCCGCACGCGCGCUACACUGAUGCAUUCAACGAGCCUAUCCUUGACCGACAGGUCCGGGUAAUCUUUGAAUCUGCAUCGUGACGGGGAUAGAUUAUUGCAAUUAUUAAUCUUCAACGAGGAAUGCCUAGUAGGCGCAAGUCAUCAGCUUGCGUCGAUUACGUCCCUGCCCUUUGUACACACCGCCCGUCGCUCCUACCGAUUGGGUGUGCUGGUGAAAUGUUCGGAUCGGCCGUUUGUCGCGGUUUCCGCGUCAUGUGGCUGAGUAGUUCAUUAAACCCUCCCACCUAGAGGAAGGAGAAGUCGUAACA
rnacentral:rRNA from 1 species